rnacentral:rRNA from 1 species
CGUCAAAUCAUCAUGCCCCUUAUGACCUGGGCUACACACGUAAUACAAUGGCCGUAAACAGAGGGAAGCGAAGGCGCGAGCCGGAGCAAACCCCGAAAAACGGUCUCAGUUCGGAUCGCAGGCUGCAACCCGCCUGCGUGAAGUUGGAAUUGCUAGUAAUCGCGGAUCAGCAUGCCGCGGUGAAUACGUUCCCGGGCCUU